rnacentral:rRNA from 1 species
UACGGAGGGGGCUAGCGUUGUUCGGAAUUACUGGGCGUAAAGCGCACGUAGGCGGAUAUUUAAGUCAGGGGGGAAAUCCCGGGGCUCAACCCCGGAACUGCCUUUGAUACUGGGUAUCUGGAGGUCGAGAGAGGCGAGUGGAAUUCCGAGUGUAGAGGUGAAAUUCGUAGAUAUUCGGAGGAACACCAGUGGCGAAGGCGGCUCGCUGGCUCGAUACUGACGCUGAGGUGCGAAAGCGUGGGGAGCAAACAGG